rnacentral:rRNA from 1 species
UACGAAGGGGCUAGCGUUGUUCGGAAUCACUGGGCGUAAAGCGCACGUAGGCGGAUCUUUAAGUCAGGGGUGAAAUCCCGAAGGCUCAACCUCGGAACUGCCUUGAUACUGGGAUCUCGAGUCCGGGAGAGGUGAGUGGAACUGCGAGUGUAGAGGUGAAAAUUCGUAGAUAUUCGCAAAGAACACCAGCGGCGAAGGCGGACUCACUGGCCCGGAACGUGACUGACUGAGGUGACGGAAACCGAUGGGCAAAGCUGGGGAAUUAA